CUUUAUUGGAGAGUUUGAUCCUGGCUCAGGAUGAACGCUGGCGGCGUGCCUAAUACAUGCAAGUCGAGCGAAUGGAUUAAGAGCUUGCUCUCAAGAAGUUAGCGGCGGACGGGUGAGUAACACGUGGGUAACCUGCCCAUAAGACUGGGAUAACUCCGGGAAACCGGGGCUAAUACCGGAUAAUAUUUUGAACUGCAUGGUUCGAAAUUGAAAGGCGGCUUCGGCUGUCACUUAUGGAUGGACCCGCGUCGCAUUAGCUAGUUGGUGAGGUAA
rnacentral:rRNA from 1 species